GACCGGGUAGCUCAGUCGGUAGAGCGUUAGGCUUUUAACCUAACGCUCCAGGGUUCGAGCCCCUGCCCGGGUGAGUGCUCA
rnacentral:tRNA from 1 species